AACGAACGCUGGCGGCAGGCUUAACACAUGCAAGUCGAACGCCCCGCAAGGGGAGUGGCAGACGGGUGAGUAACGCGUGGGAAUCUACCCAUCCCUACGGAACAACUCCGGGAAACUGGAGCUAAUACCGUAUAUGCCCUACGGGGGAAAGAUUUAUCGGGGAUGGAUGAGCCCGCGUUGGAUUAGCUAGUUGGUGGGGUAAAGGCCUACCAAGGCGACGAUCCAUAGCUGGUCUGAGAGGAUGAUCAGCCACAUUGGGACUGAGACACGGCCCAAACUCCUACGGGAGGCAGCAGUGGGGAAUAUUGGACAAUGGGCGCAAGCCUGAUCCAGCCAUGCCGCGUGAGUGAUGAAGGUCUUAGGAUUGUAAAGCUCUUUCACCGGUGAAGAUAAUGACGGUAACCGGAGAAGAAGCCCCGGCUAACUUCGUGCCAGCCGCCGCCGUAAUAC
rnacentral:rRNA from 1 species